rnacentral:lncRNA from 1 species
GCCUCACUCAGGGGGUUAAAGGAUCCAGCAUUGCUGUGGGCUCAGUGUAGGCUGCAGAAGCUGCUCAGAUCCUGAGUUGCUGUGGCUGUGGUGUAGGCCAGUAGCUAUAACUCUGAUUUGACCUCUAGUCUGGGAACUUCCAUACGACACAGAUGCAGCCCUAAAAAGCAUAAAUAAAUAAAUAAAUAAAAAUAAUAAACCCACUUCAUCACAUGUUAACAUAAAUCGCAUUCUUAUGAUUAUUUUUUCUAGCCCCUCUCCCUCGAUUUAGUGAGAAGAGUGGCAUUCUUUCACACUUUUGCAAACCUUCUUAAUGAAUGACUUAAUAGAAGGCAGCUGAGCCCUAAGAGCUGCUUUUUGCAACGAUCUGUGGCAAACCUGCAUGCCAUGUAGCCUCUACAAGACUCCAUAGUCUCUCCUAAUAGGUAGAAAGUUAAAAAGGCAGAUCAUUUCUUAGUAUUAUUGACUUUGACUUUGCAGACUUUCUGAGAGAAUCUCAGAGAUCUCCAGGGACCACUCUUUGAGAAAGGCUGGUCCAGAAAACUCCUUGGCUGACAUUAAACAGAAAAAAACAUGAGGUCUUAACUAUUAACCACUGAACAAUUGAUUUAAAGGAAAAGAAUGCUGCUCUGUGAGGGGAGGUAGACACUGAGCCCGGCCCUGUUGGGGGGUAGGAGGAGGCGGAUUCCUUGAGGAACUGAUGUUAGAAGCUGGGCCCUGAAAAGAGUUAACCAGGUGAAGAUGGGGGUGGGGUUGGGGGGAGCCCUCCCUUCCUUCAGUCUGUUUGCUAAGGAAACUAGGUAGACAGGAAAACCAUCCUGGAGAAUGGAAGGCGGCAGGUGCUACUCUGUUCUCGGAGAGUGAUGAGACCCAGCACUCACCAAACACAUACGGUGAGUCUCCCACAUUCCAUGGGACGUAUCUAGUUCACUGAACCUCCCAGUAGCCCUGUGAGAUAGCUCACUGAUCACCCCAAUCUACAGAUGAGAAACUCAAGCACAGAGAGAUCUUGCCGCUGACCCACAGUCACAGUCAGGAAGGAGGGGGAGCAGGCAUUAAUCCCAGGUGUGGCUUCUUAAGAUUCGGCGCCUUGAACCUUAACAUUUCACUGCCUUGAGCUUCGAAAUGACGUGAAGAGUUCGUUUUUUGAAAAGCAUCUGUGUAGCUGCCCAACAUCACUAAGCAUUAGGGAAAUGCAAACCAAAACCAGGAGACACCAAGUCACGCCCAUCAGGAAGGCUACUAUCCAAAAACAAAACCUGGAGUUC